rnacentral:lncRNA from 1 species
AAGGCAAUGGCGGCGACGCCUGCGGACGUGAAGGAGUAUCCGAACUCGUACGUGUUCAUCGUCGAUAUGCCCGGACUGAAGUCGGGGGACAUCAAGGUCCAAGUGGAGGACGACAAUGUGCUGCUCAUAAGCGGUGAGAGGAAGCGGGAGGAGGAGAAAGAUGGGGCCAAGUAUGUGAGAAUGGAGAGGAGGGUUGGCAAGUUUAUGAGGAAAUUUGUGCUGCCUGAGAAUGCUAACGUUGAAGCCAUUUCGGCGGUGUGUCAGGACGGAGUGUUGACUGUGACUGUCGAUAAGCUGCCACCGCCGGAGCCCAAGAAGCCCAAGACCAUUGAGGUUAAGAUUGCUUGAACUUUGAGAGAGAGAAUAUGCUGGAUUGUGGGUGCUGAUGUCUUUUCUAUUUGCCGGUUGUUAUGAAUAAUUUUGCUUGUGGGUUUGACGGUACUAUGCCUCUGUAAUCUCCUCUUCCUUUUUCUUUUUUUCUCUUUCUUCCCUUUUUUGUCCAAAAUUCUCUCUGUUCACUGGUUUGUGGUUCGGUCUUUGGCAUUCCGGAGGGGAAGCUGACGGCCGUCUACUGGUAGACAUCUAGUUGUUAUAAUUAAUGAAAAAUCCAGCUUUUAUCUGAAUGUUUCUCGUGCUCCUCGGUUACCUGUUUACUGCAGCACAUUUAUUACAAACUUUCACUAAAUUUUGGAAUCUCUUGCACUAAAAUCAAUAUGGCAAUUUACAAAACACGAACAAACAUGGCAGCGAGAUUUUACAUCAGGUACUGGGUUCACAUUACUGAGUGAAAAUGUUGAACAUUAAAGAUCUCCCAAAGACAAUUAAAUAGCCAAUUUAUAACGAUACUCGCAAAGACAAUAGUCUGGAGUUGUCACCUACUCAUGCCCGAACCUUUUUUUGAGUGCCCAAUUGGCAAAAUAUAUUGUCCUGGAAAACAACUCCAGAGGACAAUAAAGAAGCAAGGAAUCUCAUUAACGUUAACAGGGAAUGGAUAAGAGAUAUCAAUUAACACUAGAAGAGCUGCUUCAUUAGAUUCUCAAAAGUUUAACGCAACUGUUUGUCAUUUUUCAAAUCCAGAACAAGUCUCCUGGAUCUCAACAAACAAUGGGACCAUAUUUUGAACAUUCUAUUAUGCAUGAAUAGCUUCAUGCGCUUUGUCUUCGUUAUGGUCUUAUUUCCUUUAAUGUGUUCACUUACUUUGCUAUUAUAGCUGCUUGGCAUAGUGGGAUUUUUGGAGCGAUCGAUGAUAUUACCCUUAACAAAUAGAGCUAUAAAAAAGCCUUCUUUGUCUUCCACUGGAUCGGUUCGAAGUAAAUGCUCAGCUACAAAAAAAUAUCAACCAAAUGUUACAUGAGAAUAUUGUUGUGAGAGAUUCAGAGAAUUCAUUAUUAGUUCUACAUAUUAAGCAUCCUUUCUAACCCAUGUAGUUUAUUGAAUGAAAAACGAUAGUAAAUAUUCUAACUAUUAAUAGAUUAAAUGAACUCAUAUCUAAAAGAUGUUUUGAAUUUAUCUGGAAAUUUCAUUCAAAUAUCAGAUAUCUCAAAAUAAAUGAUAAUGUUGUGUAAAAACAUUAUAUUUUUCUUUCUGAAUGCUACACUAAAAAUUUUAUACUUCUACUGUCAUUCUAUUCCAAUCCUUAUAUGAUGUAUAUUAUCCCAAUACUUCUUUUCAUUUACAGAUUUGAUGAUAUCUCCAUAAAACACUUACAGCCUUCAAAAACUGGGAGGCCUCGGCAAUUCCAUUGGGGGAAAGAGGUUGCCAAUUGAAAGCCAAAGGACAUAGCAAUAGGCAGGACAGAUUUGAUGACAUCUUCAUUUUCAACUUGGUGGAUGGAGCAGGUGCUGUACACAACUCUCUCAACUCCAGGAACUGCCAAAGAAAAACUCACAUUAGAACACCAAAUUGAAAGAUGGUAUCAUGCUCUGCUAGAAUGACAGGGAAUUGAUAUAACAUCCAAUGAAAAUCACAACUGUAGGCUGUAACUCAUCAGAAAGCAGCUAAGACCUGUCAGCUGUGAGCUGGACUCACAGCGUUUCCUAUACAUAGUUUCCUAUAAAUUGUCCUAUGAUAGAACCUAAAUAAGUCUAAUGAAGAAAGAAAUGAAUGGUGUACUAGUGCUCUACUUAUCACAUAAAACUGCACAAGUAAAAUAAAGUAUUUGCUUGGAAAUACAGUGCUUUGGUUAAGCAAAACUCCCUUAAAAAACCAGUUCAAUGCAAUGGUCACUAAUCCCUUUGGAUGACAUAUGUAAUAACUUCAACACACAUACACGGUAGAAGAAUUCCAAUCCUUGAGGAAAGCUACAACAAAAAUCAUCCUUGAAAGAAGAAGACACACUUACAAGAUAAUGCAUGUCGCAAUGCCUUCUUUUGGAAAGCUGAAAGUUUAUUCAGUCUUUCCAUUUCAGUAGGAUCAGCAGUAUGACCUACACAAUUGAGAAUGCAAGACAAGAGUUAAUUCAAUAAACAGAAUAUAGAUUAUCCUGUUAGAAUGUAAAUCUAAACAAUGAGAAUUCUGACCACACAACAAAUACCAAACAGCAGAUGAAUGUGUACAUCACCUGAAGCAUGUGACGGGAGUAGAUGGUCUAACCUCUCAGCUGCAGUCCCAGAUCCAGAGCAAGAUGGAUCUAAGAGAAUGGCACGGACCUGAAAUUAUUUUCUUAUAAGAGAAGAACUGAUACACGAGACAGUAAUUUAGUAAACAGUAUCACAAGGUUGAUGAUCACACAAGUAAGAAGUCCAACUACUUUACCUUCUAAAUUAAAAUUUGUUUUUUUUUUUUUGGUUUGGGGGGGGGGGGGGGGGGGUUGGUUGUGGGGGUGGGGAAACUGCCACUACAAAGGAAAGAGGGCAUAUUGGAGAAUUUUAGUGUUGAACCACCCAACAUUUUAUUGAAUCUGAACUGACUUUACGACAGAAAACAGACCCAUUGAUGAACAAAGCAAGGACUGCUAAAAUUAUUAUUACAUUGAGCAGUGACAUGCUCUCUGAGCAUAAUUAAAAACCUUUAGCAGAUCUCAAUGAGAUUCAUUAAAACAAAGGAUCAGAAUUAUGUGGGGAAAAGAUAAAAGGGAACAGUGUCAAUAAGUGAUACUGACUACUAAAGAAUGGCUGGAUAAGGUUCCAAAAGAAAAGACUACUGGAUCUAGAGAUAGAUAAGAAAGCUUGUGUUCUAUCAGAUAACCCAUCCAGACAAAUGGAGAAAAACUUGUUAGCAGAACUAUUGAUUCACGUAGAAGCCAUGGAACAUAAUUAUCAUCCAUGUGAAGAUGCAAAAUAUCAAGCUUACCUCAGAGUAUGCAGGAUCUUUCGGGUCUAAGUUCAAAAAGUCCCCAUGCAGGACUUCAAUAUCUUCGGGCUGGUUAAGGCUGUUUCUAAACAAAAUUGAUAAUAAUUGAAAAGCAUGGAUCAUUGAGUAUAGAUAAUGCAUCAUCACAAAUAGGAGCACCUUAAAUUCUUUUUUAAAAAAAAAGGUAGCAAGUAUCCUGUAGAUUGCAAACUUUUUUAACAAUUGAGAUAGCAAGCAUUCAAAUAAUUAAGAUGCAAAACCAAUAACCAACAUAAAGAUACUAGCAGCACCAGAGAGCUUAAUGGUGUCUUUGAGACGUCUAACCCUUUCCUUAUUAAGCUCACAUGCUACAAUCUUUCCUUUUCCUUUCAUAAGAGCAGCUAGGUGCACAGUUUUGUUUCCAGGAGCUGAACAGGCAUCAAGAACCUUCACAAAAAUUGAAACAGAACAUGAAGACAUAAAAACAAGGAACUCAAUAAGAAAUCUCAUGGAAAUCAGGUCAGUCUGGAAAGGGGGGAAAAAUCAUAUAAUCAUCCAGCUAAAACAUAGUAAUCUGCUGUGAAUCAAAAACUUCUAUUUAACAAACUACCUACUUAUUGUGCAUUCUUGAUACCCGUGCUCAAAUAUGUGGUUUCACAUGGCUAUAUACCUAAAAUUCAAAAAGAAUUAUUUAUUUAAAUUCAUAAAUUUUAUACACAAAAUUUAGAAUUCCAAAUAAAUAAGCUCCACAGAUCUCUCCAAAAGAGUAUCUCUUGCACGCAACUUUAAUUGUUUUAUUAGCGGGAAAAAAUGACAAAAUUAUUCAUUUACUUUUCUUAUAUUUUUAGAUGAGAUAACAGGAAGUUCAAGAUAAUGAAUUUGAUAUUAUCUGAGAACCAUCAACGUAUAAAUAACUAAAUACAAAAAAAAAAAAAAAAAAAGGUACCACUCACCUUCCAUCCUGGUUUGGGUGCUAGGGCUGCUGCUACCAUAGAACUUGCUUUUCCCUAUAAAACGUUGAAUCACCAAAGAACUACAGUAAAAAUACAAACCACUACCAAUUCACAAUUGUUCUUUCGGAUGAAAACUAAAAUAUUCCUCCCUAAACGAUUAAUAUCUUACUUGCAAGAAUACACAUCCAUUGACGAUCAGAGGAUGAUCGUGCAAAUCACAACCUGGUGGGAGUAUCAAUAAGUCAGGAACCAAGUCAUCCUUUUGGACCUAGUUAACCCACACAAGAAACAUAAUCAUAAUGCAAAUGAACCACAUAAGAAAUUAACCCAGGUAAAAGAAUUAACAAAUUGUUUAAAGAAGAUAACAAAAGACACCGUAUGCAGACAGCUAAGAUAUACGUACAUGAGGUGUUUAAUUAGAGUCACUAUAUCAACUACAUGACAGUGAAACAAGAUGUGACAGAGAUGGCAUGCAAAACAAAUAAGGUAAACGACAGAUGUUUUGAAAUAAUUCAAAUGCUAUUCAACAGAUCCAAGUAGAAUGCUAAUAAGUUUCACAAAGUACCACAAACUGCUUCCCCAAUUCAAGCACCGCCGAAUCAACAUCCAUUUUCAGAGUAUUGACACGAACGUAACGAGGCUUUGGAACAUCUGCAGCAAAAUUAACAAAACACAUACAGUCAAUGUUCUCAAAGCAUAGGACUGAAAUAACUCAUGCAUCUCAAUGAGAAGAGUGUUUGAAUACCCACCAGGAGUUUGAUAAAGUGCCAUUAAGUCUUCAAUGCUCUUGACCUUAUUCCUCACUAAAAGUCGAGCUAGAGCCGAUUGUAUAGCACCUUUAUGGAGCAUGAGAAACUUCUCUGCAUCACCUACUAAUGAUAUUUCCUAGAAAUCAGAAUUCACAUAAGAAGUCACCACAAAAACAAGAAAAGAAGCACAGUGCAUGCAAAAAUGAGAGGUAAGAUUAGUGAUCCUUUGGCAAUCAAAAUGAAUAACACUACUUUAGGAAGCCUAGAAGGCCAUAAGCACAUUGAAAAUCAAGAUCCAGUUGUGCCGUCAUAUAGAGUCCUAAACCCUGCAGGCUUUUUAGUUAAGUGACAACUAAUUUCACUUAAACUAAUAAAUUUGCAUUUGGAAGUCUAAGAAUGCUACAGUCAAUUUUACAGAACUAAUUCCAAGAAAAAGGACGGAAAACCUACCUGGCCAAAGAGGAUGUCGUAAGUUAGUAUGUAGACCAAUUCUUCUUGCCUCUGCCACAGCAAUAAUAAAGUUGCAUUAAAAUAAAUUAAAAAGCGACAUUUAUUAAAAAAAUAAGUCAAAUUAAAAUAAACAAAAACAUGAGCUUUUACCUUCCAUUUGCUAUUGAGUAUGCUAGCAGAGUCCAACACUUGUUUAAUAAUAGAGAGAUCUGAAUACAAAUGAAACAAACACUUCAACAUAGUUCAUAGAAACACAGAGUGAGUAAAAAGGUUUAGGGCUUAAAUGGCAAGCUUACGUUUGAGAGUUUGACAAACCAAAGCGAAAGUGGCUUUUUUGUUCUUCACAGAGGGGCUAUAGACGAGCGACUUGAUGGAGCCGACGGCUCGGCGACGUGCGUCGCCUCGGAGGACCAACCGCAAGACCUUCGCGGCUUCUCUCCUCGCAAAGUAAGCCGACCGCUCAGCGUUGCUUAGUCGGCCGUUUCGAGAUGUCUUCGCUGAUGCUCCCGAUGGGGCAGUUGCCGCUGUCUUAGUGCGCGCCAUGGCUAGCGCUAGGGCAAUCGAUUAAUCCUACACUUCUAAUUUUAAGUGUCCAAGUUAAAUCCAUCAAAUGACGUCGUUGUACUCGUAACAUUGUAACAUACUAGCAUAGGGUUAUUUUUAGGGACCUCCCCUGAGGUUCGGUUUAUUAACAAUCUGAUAAAAAGUAUUCACAUAAUUACAAAAAUCUUCCCUAACAUUUGUAUUAUGUUAAGUGGACUGUUAGUUGACUAUUGAAAAUCCAAAAGUACCCUUCCUACCAAAAUAUUUUUGAUGGGUAAUUCGUGCCAAAAUCACAAAUUACUUAAGAAGAUGAAAAUAUCCAUUGGAUAAAAAAAAUGAAAUUGCUUAAUAAAAAAAUUGACAUUGCAUAAUAAUAAAAAAAUUCACAUUGCAUAAUAAAAAAAAAAUUGAAAUAAUGUGUGGCGGCAUAACUGCAUCCUGCAUAUGCAUAUUAUUAUUGUGAUUUUUUUUAUUACAAACUACUUCAUAACUAAUACAUGCCACAAGAGCAGAGCUAUUAAAAGAAAUGAUUUUCAUAUUGUAAACUUUAUAGUACAGGCGUUGGCACCGACCAUAAAACCCUUCUAAUACCAAUCUUUGCUCCAUCCAUAUUUAAACCCAGAUCAAGUAAAUAUUAAAUUGGAUUUCAGGUCCUGAAAAUCCCACUCUAUAAUUGAUAUCUUCGAGUUUUGUUGGUGCCUCAAACUUGGAUCUAGAGCAUCAUCUCUGUCAUACUCGGAACACCUAAACUAAUGGACUUGCUGCAGCUGCUUAUUCUUCUUCUGAAAUGAUGCACGCAGAUAGAUUACAGACUUUGAAAUAAGAAAUACAAUAAACAACAUGUAAUCGAACUUAAGAUUUCGGCACACUUGUUUGAAAAUUAGAAUCAAACAAGGAAAAUGGCAAGUCAAUAUUUUUUAAUCUAGAAAAAGGGCAAUUUCAAAGUUUAUCACAUGCCAAAUUCAUAGUCUUGCAUCCACUAUUUUCUAGUUUGAAUAACAAACAAAAGCCUUAGACAAAAACACAGAGAACAUCUCACAUGGGAGCAAAAAUUGUAUGUAGAACAAUAUACUUAAGUUACAUGUGAUUACAAUCACAUUAUUUAGCAAAUACAAAAUUACCUUCUCAAAAAAAAAAAAAACACCACCACCAAAUUAUUGAAGGUAUUACAACAAUAAGGCAAAAGAACACCAAAGGCAUGCACAAACCGAAACUAACACACAACUCAAUUAGUGUCAUGACCCCAAACUGAACAAUCACAUAAACCAUUGUAGGCUCUCUAAAAGAUUAUCACAUUAUAAGCAAACUGAAACCAUCUUUGAUGAACUACAUCUAGUACUUACACAGCUCUUAAAUCAUUAGGAAAUUGCUCUUAUCAGUCAUUACCCAAUAGUUUUUUUCAACUCAACACUAACAACCCCAGAGAGAAACAACAUCCAACACCAUUUUCAUUAAUUAAAACAGACUUUCAUUAAUUAAAACAGACCCAUUGUUAUUUUUAAUCAAUAAAAUAACAACAAUAUCUUGUAAGCCACUGAUUCAAGCAUGCAAGCUGUGUUUUUGAAGACUGACCUCUUCUUGCGAUCUAAUUCCAGUCACGAUAGACGCUAGAUGCCGGCAAUACUCGCUUCUUGGAAGCUCUGGACCACCGCACGACGUCAUCUUGUGCAAUAGAUGAAAAUAAAUCAAUGAUUUUAGAAAUUAUUUGUGAGUUGCAGACGCUUCUUCUCCAUGGAUGAAAAUGAUGGUGGGUUUUGUUCAAGUGUAAGCUGUGUUUAUGAGGAGAAGAACACUUUGUGAAAAAAAUCGUUUUCUUUUAUCUACUGGAUAAUGACUUUGGACUGGGUAAUGGUGUGUUUAAGUCUCCAUUUCACGGACAUUAAAGCAUAUUUUGCUUGAAUUUUGAUUUUGUUUAAAUUUCAAGUUUACUUUGAUUUGUUUACCCUUUUAUACUAUACUGACGCUUACAUAUUUUUAUACUAACGUUAAGAGAGGUCUUUGUAAUUACAUGAAUACUUUCUAUCAGACUGUUAAAAUACCAAACCUCAUGGGAGGUCCCUAAAAAUAACCCUUGUAACAUAUUGUUUUAAAAUGUUCCGCCCGGUGCGAAUGCACUUCUCCAUGUCUUUUUUUUUUUUAACAGUUACGCACCAAAUUACUGCAUUGCACAAAUAUUUACAAAACAACUGCUAUAUACAAAUAUUACACUGAUAUUUACAAUAAGAUAUACAUAACUGAGACUUACAUUAGUACAUUAAAUUCUAUGAAGUACAUGCCCAGUAGACAAAUAACUCUCACAAAUAUAUACAAAUAUAGUGCAUUGCAAAUAUUUACAAACAAUUGCUAUAUACAAAUAUUACACUGAUAUUUACAAUCAGAUAUACAUAACUGAGGCUUAUAUUAUUACAUUAAAUUCUAUUAAAUACAUGCCCAGCAAACAAAUAACCCUCACAGACGAUGGAUGUCCCUACUCCACUCGCAUUUUGCAAGGGAGAAGAACUUAUAAAUAUUUAGCCCCCACAAUAUUUUUGUGGGGGCUUGAACCGCUGCCCUCACAAGCCAACCACCAGGCCAAGGGCCCAAUGGUUGCACUUCUCCAUGUCCGAACUAUGGAAGUAAUUUUCUUUUUAUUAAUAAAUUUUUUAAUUAAUUUUUUUAAGCAACCAAUGACUUUAUUACAAUAAAAAAUACAUAAUAAUUCUGAUGAAAAAAUCAUCCAACCAAACAAUAGAAUAAUAAUUUAAAGAGCAAAUUAAGCCAACCCACCUUGCGUGCAUGAGUUUGAAUCCUAACUAUUGUUGAGACUCGACUUCUCUCCUAAUAAAAAUUGGAUAGGAGUCUACUUAUCUUUUUGUCAUUUGAAUUAGAAUAGAUAUAUUUCUAGCAUUAAGUGAAGGUAAAUUUUCAGAUUGUGCCGUAAUAGAAGUAGUAUUUUAAGCUACGCCAUAAUAAAAUGAUUAAGAAGAGUUUGAUUGAUUUUUUAUUAUAAGUAUUAGUAGAAUUCUGAUUAUAAUAUAGUACUAUAUCAAAAAAAAAAAUUAGACUUAUAUCAAGAUACGCAUCUAUUAAAUUUCUAUUGUGCUGAAUACCAAUCUACUAUUAAAUUAAAUAAAAAAAAUAAAAAACACAUUCUUCAUCUUAUUAGCAUGAGAAACGUUUAUUAGUAUUAUCCUAAAAGCGAAAUGCAUAUCACAUUGCUAAUUGCAUCCGAAAAUUUUGAAAAUUACAUCCUCUAAUGUCUCAUUUCCAUACUUAAAAAAAUAAUAAUAAUGAUUAAUAGAUCAUAAUGGGGGCAACAACGAGCCUCAAAUUCAGUAUCGCUCUCCGUAAUGAGGUCUGGUCAUCAAUUGCGUCAUGGUCAUGGAUCAGAUUUUGAUUCUUCAUCCUCAUCAAUUUGGAUUUUAGAGUCUCUUUCUGUGUAGUAUCCGGCGGUGCAUGUUGCUUCCUGGAACUAAACAUGAACACAAUUGAUUUGACAGAUGCCUAACAAUGGUAUGAAAUAAAUGCCAACCCCGUUAAAGGUACUCAGCAAUCAUGAUCAGCUGGCUAUAUGCGUGGUGUGAUAUAUAUGUAUAAAUAUAAUAUAAUAAAGAAAAAAUAUCCGUCGUUCGUUCAUUUUUUUUUUAAAUACAUAAUUUUUUUAAAUAUAAAAUUUACUUAAAGUUAUAUUUUAUUUUAUUUUUCUACUUUUAUUUAGAAUCUGUUAAGAAAAUUAACGGAAACUUAAAAAAAUAAUUAUUUUACCUCUUAAAACAAAAAUAACAAUUUCACCAUAAAAAUUACCAUAAAUAAUCAAAUUAAAUCUAAAUAUUUUUUUCAUCGGUUAAUAAAGAAAUUAAUUCCACAACCAUCAAAUGCAUGUUUGUUUUAUAAAUAUGUCUGUAAUUAGAAUGUUAAAUUAUAAUAGUAGUAUUAAAAAUAGUCCAAUAUCGCAAACCAUCAAUUAAAUUUAAAAUAAAUAGAGUUUUAUUAUUUAUUGAGUUAUAAUCUCUAGUAGUUAAGAUUUUUUUAUACUUCAUUAACGUACCAAUAAUGAUAUUUAUCAUUAAAUCUGAUUAUUUUUGACAUUUUUUAAGGUGAAAUUGUAAUUUCCGUUUUGGGGGUAAAAUAGUCAUUUUUUUAAAUUUCCGUUAGUUUUCUUAACAGAUUCCAAACGGAAGUGGAAAAGUGAAAUAAAAUAUAAUUUUAGAUGGAUUACAGCAAAAAAAAAAUUAUAUAUUUUUAAAAAAAUAAAAAAAAGGGUGUGCGGUGAAUAUUUUUUCUAUAAUAAAUAAAAUCAGCCUGGAAGUUGCACAUGGAGCUUCUAACUGAUCCAUUUAGGUCAAUGGAGGUCUACUUGUCUUAAUUGCGACGGUUGGUGGCAUUCCAAAAUAUUGCAAUUUGUAGCUUCCAUGAGGGAGCUUGCUAUGUGACAUACACACCCAAUGGUUGGCAGCCACGUGUUCUGAGGAGAGAGAAAAAGCAUUGAAAUACAAGCAAUGGGAGUUGGCACAGCCACUGGAUCUGCAAGUUACGUGAUCCGUAACUUAGCCAACUCAUGAGAGUUUAGCCAUCCUCGUCAAUGAUUCUUAAAAAUUGACGUUGACCUUUUCUCCUCUUGCCUGCUCGUGGCUUGAAUGUUCUUUAGCAUUCUGUGUCUGUCAUUUGUGGUCACAGCUAAGGGCACAACAAACACUUCAGAUAUUUAAGUUCUUUUAUGACAUGCAUCUUAUUUAUUAUUAAGUUUACCAAACAUAUACUUAAAUUAUAACCAACAACGUGUUAGUUCUACUGACAAUGGAGUCUCCUUAAAUGACUUGAUUGGAUUUGAUCUUCAGUUUGAGUGGCAGAAAAGUCGUUUUUGUUAGGAGAACGUGUGCCUCCCGAUUCGAGCGGGGACUUAUAGUCUGGGUUGUGAUACGAGCUUAAAGGUACCUCCCACAGUUAGGGUCCUUCCCAGGAUACCUCGUGGUUAAGACAAAAAAAAAAAAAUUAUAUAUACGAAUCACAGUGAUUGCGAAAUGAAGAUCUAUAGACAAUCCAAAGACCAAAAAUGUUAAGAGAAAAUUAAACAAAAAUAUUAGCGUUUUAAUUAAUCUUUAAUGUGAGAAUGAAGAAUAAUACAAAUUGAAUCUAUUUCUGAAUUCUAAUACCAUAUUUGAUGAAUAAUAAUAAUAAUUGAACAAACGAGCCGGCAUUAGAAUGAGAUAAACAACGAAAAUAAAUAUAUUCUUAGUUACAAAAAAAAACUGAUUGAAUCAUACACAACCACGUCUAGACUGGAUUCACGAACGAUGAUAAUUAGACCAGCUGAGGCACGUAUCAAACAAGGUAAGACUGAUGGGUCUCGAUUCUGCUGCCCCUCAGAUGAAGCUGUGCAUGACCUUAAUAUAUGAAUCUAGAUUGUGAGAAUACAUGAAGCGUUGAGAUGAAAUGUAACAAUCUGUGUUUACAUCAUAGUUCAAGAAUCACUAUCGCCUUUGACUUGUACGUUCCUUAUCGUUGUGAAAGGGCACGCACGAGACUUUGAACUUUAAACUCAUCAUAACAUUAAACAAAGCACUAAGUCUACGCACAAGUCAUCCUUGACAAGCCCCACAGUGCUUUUUACAAAUAUAUGUGGUGGCUUGCCACUCAGAAUUAACAGAGAAGUUUCCUGCAACACCACAAGAAGCUUCACGGUGAAGGCAUGAACCCACCUUCAAGCUGCAGUGAUAAGUGCUCCCUAUAGUAUAUAUAAUAAAUAUCUCAUUUCAUCACGAUGAUAGUAUGAGUAUAAGCUAAAUUUUUUAAGUUCAUAUAUACGUGAAUGUCUAAUAUAAAUCUUAUACCACAGGACUCACCUGAGAGUGAUUCUGCUGAAAAGACUAAUUUCGAGCUCUCUGAGUACUUGACCUUUGAUGAGUGGUUCGAGGAUGAUCAAGCAUCUAAACUUUUUGGGUAUGUCCAGAAUCCGGUGUAUCGAGCAAAUGAAGUUGUUGAACCAGGAGGAACUAGCACCCACUUCGAAGGACCUAGCAACAGUAAGCAAAGUUGAAAAUUUUCAUGCAAAAAUAAUUCUGCUCUCGAGUUAUUGUUAUUAAUCUUUGUGCGGUUGUGUAUGUGAAGGUGACAAUGACAGUGGGAGGGAGAAGAAGCCGGUAAAAGAAAGAGUUGCGUUCAAGACAAAAUCUGACGUCGAGAUACUGGAUGAUGGGUUCAAGUGGAGAAAAUAUGGGAAGAAGAUGGUGAAAAAUAGCCCAAAUCCAAGGUUAGAAAUAGUUUUAACAUCUGAUAUUGUUAAAAAAAGGGAAAAAAAUCCUUAAUUUCAUCUUUUGAUCAGUUAAAUCCUUAAUUUCUUCUUUUGAUCAGUUAAUAACAGACUUGAGUGGAAUGGGUAUUAAGCUAAUAGCUUUAGCAAAAACUAUUGCUAUCAAAAUAGCUUGCAUAUAUUCUGAAAUCUGAAUUAUACCUCAAACCAUAGAAAUGUAGAAUUUCAUUUUUAACAACGUCUUUAUUAUGUGAUUAACAGGAAUUAUUAUAAAUGUUCAGUUGAUGGAUGCCCCGUGAAGAAAAGAGUUGAAAGAGACAGAGAUGAUCCAAGUUAUGUAAUAACAACCUAUGAAGGUUUCCAUACUCACCAAAGCAAUCCUUAGUUCUCAUAUACUUUUUCCUGGGUUUGAGUUCUCCUAAUACUGCACUUGUGUGUUAAAGAAGUACUAUCUUGUUUUAUUUUAGUCCCGAGUGAAUGGGAAGUAGAGUCUGUAAUUGCAUUACCUUUUUCAGUGUGGGGCUACUGUGAUGACUCAGCCUAGACAGAAUGAUCUAUGAUUUUGUAGUUUGUACUGUGAUGCUCUUUCUAUAUCAACUAUCUGUAAUAGCUUAACAAUCAAAAGCUCUGUAAAUCAGAUUAAUAACAGAGAGUUUUGUCAAUUUCACCUCAAUUUCGCCAAGCUAUGCAUACUUUUGUCUACUAAGAAACAGGUCAAGUGCUUUAACUAGUAGUUGGACAACAACAUUCGAACCUGACAUUAACUUUUUUCAUACAAUAAAUUUCAGAGAGGGAUGGUUUGUACAAAACAUAAUCCCAGAAUUAGUGAAUGCUGGGUGACAAACAAAAAAUAUACAAGUAUUGAAUUAUACCAAAAAUAAAGGAGUCUCUUUUAAUGGUGGUAGGAAGUUCUACCACAAUGAAUGCAAAUAGAGAUUCCCUACCUUUGGUAAAAUAAAAUGUAAGCAUUAGUCACAAAUUUCUCAAUUAGAUGCGUGUUUUAACCUCAAGGGGAUUUUGGGUUGAGUGGGAAAGGACUCCUAGAUACAACCAAAAGGUCAACUGCUUAUAUCAUAUGAGUUUCUUGACUAUCAAGGUUAUAGGGUCGGACCCGGAAUAGUCCCAAAACUCGAUGACCAUAGAAAAAUCUCAUCCCAUUCAUCAACGACAGCCUUUGUAGAGGUUAUGCACCAUAAUAUACCAAUGUAACGUGAAAUGUUCAUGUCGUUGUAGUUGCGAAAACUUGGUUACAUUAAGGUCACAAGUAAACAUCAAUUGCAAAAGAGAAAGAUCAAACCAUGAGGGAAAGUAGUCCACUUGAGCUACAAUUUUUAUUUGCUUAAACACGCAUCAGUUUAUUACAACCAACAUCGUAUAUCUGUUGUCCCAUCUCUCUCAUCAAAUUCUAAAGACCAUCCUGAGUACUCAAAAUUCUUUCCUAAUCGGCUAUACAAUCUUGGUACACAAAGGAAGUAUACACCACCAAAAAAAAACCUCCUAUCAGAUUACAUGUGACCUGGUAUUUUCAUUUGGAAAUACAAUAUCGGGGUUUCGAAUGUAUGGAACCAACGCUGCCAACUCUUUCCAAUUAGUUCCUGCAUCAUCAAAACUAGAGGUUAUGCUCCAUAGCACAUCCUCAUUCUGAACCUUUUUAGGCCCUAGACGAUUGGAUAUUACAAUGGCCUUUGAAUUGGAAAGUGAAUAUUUUUUUGACUUUGCCAUGCCACUAGCAAGCAACCAGCGGGUCCCAGACUGUUGCUGUGUCCUGCUACCCCAGAGAUGAUUCUUGCCAAGCUCAGCGUUCAAACCUGCAAGAUGGACUUCAGAAAGUUUAAACCAUGGAGUGGUUUCUUUAUGCUCUUCUUUUUCCUCUCCUCUCUUGACAGUCACCUCCUCCUCCAAGUUGGCUUCACCAUCCUUCCUCUCAUUUCUGUCUCUCAUUGCACUAUAAAUUUUUGGCUUAACAUGGCCAAAGAUCCUCUCAACUUGAAACAGAGCAAGCAUUGAGGUGCCAACAGGUUCAUAGUUUCGAAGGGGAUCUCGAAGUAAAACCAUCAGAGCUACUGUGAAGUUGUUCCUCAACAAAGUGUGAGUUUUACCAGAUGCCUUAUCACAGCUAACCUCUCUUAUCAAGGUUCCACUAACAAAAUCUAUGCACUGAGAAUGAUGGGCGGUCUUUACUGUGUGCAAACUAAUUUGAUCUUCAUCAUAAAAAAUUCCAUUGUCCAGCUUUAACCACUCAUCCAAUGUUACCGAGAGAUCCAUCAAUUUAUCAAUAUCAUUAGCACCAUCCCUGACAUCCGAUAGUUGCAAUCCUGCAGAGUGGGUUCUGAUGCAUGAUGGUGCAUCCUCAUCAGACAUGCCACACUGAAUUCUCAACCCGUCAAUCAAGAGUGCCUCAAUCCCAUUCAUCGCUAAACAAGCAAAAUCUGUGGUAGAUAAAAAUCCUGUGCCCAUCUCACCAACAAUCAAGCUUGAGCGCAUGCAAUCGUUAGUCCAGCCAAAUCUAAGUUCUUCUUCUUUCUCUCUCCCAGCAAAGGAAUCUUGUGCAAAUAAUGAUCCAUACUGCAGUGAAGUCUGCCUGUGACAAAAAUAUGAAAUCAGUUGAUGCACAAAGCAUACCAAAUAGUGGAAUAAAAGGAACAUGUAUAUGGAAAGUGGAAAUCAAGAAUACUUUGUUUAUCAAUGUGAUCGAUGAGUUCACAAACCUCUCUGACACCAGCAUUCUGGGUGCAGCUUCCUGCGCCACUUCUUGUAGUGUCUUCCCAGUAAUAUCCUCCAAAGGCAUUAAUUUGUUUAGCUGCAUAGACAACUUCUUAAUACCAACCGAUGCCAAGUGAUGCAAUAUGUCAAUAAUCUCAGAGCCCACUUCUGCAGGCAGUACAACUGGUCUAGAAACUUGCACGACGAGACUUCCAAGAUUUUUUGCAUUUCUGAGAAGUGAUGGAUUCAUAGACCGCAGAUAACCUCCACUCUUUGUUUCAAUUAAAGGUCCAAAGCCAUCUCCAAGUGGAGGUAAUUCUGAGGGAUUCUCAGGAGGGAGCUCAACCGGACUUCCAAAGCCAUCAGAACAAUAUCGUGGAGAACUCUGAAAUGCACUCUCAUUUAGGCCCCACUCUCGCAUUAAACAUUCAGUUUCCAAGUCUUCAAGAAUGUUGGCCUUCCUUCUAUUUUUUAACAAUUGGUCUGCCCUGUUGUGCUCCCCAUCAGAACCCCGAAUAAUCGGAAAGAGAACAAAAUCCCUGCAAGAAUCCUGAGAACUUGAUCCAGUUGGAGCAUUGCAACUGAACUCCAGUUGGUCUUCUUCCCUUACAUCAAAAUCAAAUAUGGAACUACCAGAAUUUAAAGCUUCCUUCUCAAACUCUCUUAACAAAAGCUCUCUAGGAGACUCAGGAUUGCUAUCAGAGGUAAAGCCAGAUGGAGCUUGAUCUAUCCCCAGCAUCUUUAAAAAAUCACUUGCCACUGAUUCAGUUGCAUCAUCCAAGCUAAGUGAAGUUUUGGAUGUUUUACUAGCUCUGUAAUUAGACUUAAUCUCCAUGUAGUUUUCUUGCUCAAGAAGUUCAUCAAUAGCUAGUGGAGAUUCCAAAUCUUUCAAUUCUGAAAUAAACAUGUCAUCAAAAAUUAACUCUAGCUCUUGGAUGGUUGAUCCUGUAGUACAUAGAGUGCGAUCUUCAUGUUUCCCAUCAUUAACUAGAACUUCAUCUAUGUAACUACCACAAGUAUCUUCUUUCGAAUUACUUUUCAUCUUCUCCUCAAGGGCAAUGUUAUCCUCUCCAGUGAUCUCAUCCACAUUUAUAGUUUCAACUACAGGAUCAUCGAUUGUCUGAACACUUCCUUUUGGUUCCAAAUGUUCCUUUUCAGACACUUCUAUCCCCUUUUCAACCACAGUGAACUCAGAACAGUCAAACUCACUUUCACCAAAAUCUUUAGCAGACUCAAAAUUAUGGUUAUUAGGUGGCUCCACAUAUUCGGACGAUAAAUUAAACUCUUUUGAACCAUUCAAGUUCGCUUCAUUAAGUUUCUCAUAUAAAAAGUUAAUUGACUUGGAGAGCUCCAAACCCAGAAUUGGUGAAACUUCAUGAGAUGUAUACGAGAGAAAAGAUCUGUGGCUAGAGUUUCUUGGAACACUACCAACCCUCUUAAGCAUCUCAUUGUAGUUAUUCACCGCCAAACCUUUAACAGAUUCUAAGGCCAUUGAUCUGUCCUCUGUUAAGUUUAUAAGCUCAGAAACAUUCCUAUUGUUCUUUGAUUCACUCAAAUUGUCUUUCAUCACCUUAAAGCCGAAGCUAACAUUCAGUGUAGCGCCUUUAGCCUUUCCUGCAAGCUUAAAGCUCGUUGUCCAUGUACCUACACUUUUUUCCCCCUCUAACUCCUCUAAAGUAAGUGGCAACAGCCUUGUGAGAUCAACCCAGUGCUUUCCUGUAUCGACUCCUGGAGCCCCAACUACAGAAGCGUAUAUCAAAGAAAGCUUCACUUCAUAUUUUGCUGAGCUAUGGGCUCCACUUCUACCACCAUAUACACUACAUUUAUACAUCAAAGUCUCCUCAAAUUCAGCAGUGCUCUGCAAAAUCCUUGACGGGCGAGUUGCCAAAACAUCAUCCUUCCUCUUCCAGAAAACACGCAAACUACGGUCAUUGAAAUUCAUUGCCAACCCUUCAAUUGAGUGAACAUGGAGGAAGAAACAAAUGUUGAACCUAUGAUCCCUAAUGUGUGCCAAAGCUUUCAGCGGCUUCUUCCAAUUCCAUAAUGAUGAGAACUUUUUGUUCUUCUGCAGCACCUUUUCAUUGAAGUUUCCUGAGUUUUGGUUUGCUUUUGGCUCUGUGAAACGGGUUCUUUCAGCGGAUUUGGAUCGACGCUCAUAUGGGAAAAUCAAAGACUUCGGUGGUGGUCUUUGCAAGUACAGGGCUUUGCUUAUUGCCUCAAUAUCAUGCAACAACCGACUACUACUCGAAUUCCGGUCACUACUGUCAUUUUCCAAGUCAAUUUUGGACAAACUCAUAUCGUCUUCAAACACAGCACAACAUUUGAUCCAGAACCGGAACCAAAAUUCAGUAUGCACGUUCUUAGCAAUUCAAUUUUUUCAGACAAGUCCGCAGACCCACUUGGAUCGUACCAAUAAGCACCACAAAAUUAAAAUAAAGAAUCAGCAUUCAAGCGAUUAACAAAAUUGGACGCAUCAAAUUACAAAUACACAGCACAUAGCAACAUUCCGUCACAGAUAAAUCAAAAGUCCAAUUCAGAAAAUCAAUCAUCUUAACUAUAAAAAAAAUGGCACUUUUUUUUUUUUUUUUUGAUAAAAAUCUUCCUGACAAGUUAUCAUUUGUUAGCAAUCAGACAUAACUCGUAAAGCAAUUCUAACAAGCUUACCUGAGACUGGAUCUUCUCCUCGCAGACGAAACAGUCGCUGUAAGGAUUUGACCCGGAACACGGUAGAAGAUUGGUAUCGCUCAAUUUAGCCGUUAUUUUCGCAGAAUUUACUUCUAUGUACUUCCCGAAAGAAAAAGAACUUCACGAGAGAAUUGUCAAUUGUGAACAAAAUUAAUGUUUUGUCUCUUUGUGUCUUAAAGUGCAGGAGAAGCCAUGAUGGACUCUUUUGUCUAGUAAUUUUUACACUCAACAAUGAUAUGCUACACUCGAUUUCACGUAGGAUCAUCGGAACCCAGCUGAAUCGACGCAUGACGCAUGAUAUUCCUGGUUUAUGGUAUAAUUACAUUACCAUCCCUAAUUUCUACUGAAACCACCAAAUAAGGACAUAUCUACAUUUGUUUUUCAUAGGAUCCCUAGAUCAGCCACUUAUUAAGGUUUUUUUUUUCCCUAAUACUAGUUUUUUUUCCCCAGAAAUCCUGUCAUAUUUACAACCUAGAAUCUGUUAUCACAAACAAAGAUUUUUGUUCUCAUAUUAAAACUAUAUUUUAUUCACAUUUUUCAAAGAAAUUAUAGAAGGAGAAUAGAAUCCUAAUAACUUGUAUCUAAUAAUAGGAUUAAAAUACUCUUCUAAUACGAACUUAUUCUCAACAAAAAUUCAUUUAUUGGUGAUGAUUAAUAAAUAAAAAAAUUAAAUUUUAUCCAUAUAGUUUUACUUUAUGAUACAUGUCAAAUCAAUAAAGGAUUAUAAUCGAUAAUAAUAAUAUAAAAAUCUUAUAAUUAAUGUAUCCACCACAAACCCAAUCACUAUACAAUAAUCUAAUAUAAAAUCUUGUAUUUAAUGUAUUCACCAUAAUACAAUGACCAUUAUUAUGGUAUUUUUAAUUUCAAGGAAUUGGUUGAAUAAAUUUCAAGUUAGUUGAGAUUGAAAGAGCUUAAUUGCUGGAAAAUUGAUUAAAGAUCAGUCUAUCACUCUCAACUUAAAUAAUAAUAAUAAUAAUAAUAAAAAUCUUCACGGAUCCUAACAAUAAUACAGUACGGACCUGUGUAAAAGAAAUUGCAAAACCAUUACAUUUAUUCUAAUUGUGCUAAAAGUUGAUUAUGCAGAUGUUAUUAUCUUAUCCUUUGAUGAGAAAUUUCACUAAGAUACCCAACAUUUAAUUAAUUACAAAAUGUUACAGUGAAAAGAUCCGAACAUCCGGUUUCGUUAGAAAAACAUUGAGGUCGGGCAAACUCAACAAACUUUUCCCAAUCGUAGACGUUGAAAACCCUAAACCCUCUUUACUUUAUUUCUCUCUCUCUCCCGAACAAGCGCGCGUAACUUUUUAUGUAGCAUCGAAGAUGACAUUAGAAAUCGAAGCUCGAGAGUAAGUUUUAGUUAAGACUUUGAUAAUGCCUCGAAGUUGUACAAUGUCAAGAAUAAUUAGAUGUUUCAAUUUUUCGCUUGCAAUAAAUUCUCACUCUUUUAAGCAUGCAGUGUGAUCAAGAUUGUGCUUCAAUUCUGCAAAGAGAAUUCUUUGCAGCAAACGUUUCAAACGCUUCAGAACGAGUGCCAAGUGUCGCUGAAUACCGUGGAUAGCAUUGAGACAUUUGUUGCCGAUAUCAAUAGUGGAAGAUGGGAUGCAAUUUUGCCUCAAGUUGCUCAGCUUAAACUUCCAAGAAAUAAAUUGGAGGACUUGUAUGAGCAGGUUUGUGUUUAGUAAUUGAACUUUCAAUUUGUGAGGAGAUACUGAAGUUUUAUGAUUUUUUUUAUGAUUUUAUUUUUUUUGUUUGAGUAGAUUGUAUUGGAGAUGAUUGAACUGCGUGAGCUGGAUACUGCACGUGCGAUUCUGAGGCAAACUCAGGCAAUGGGUGUAAUGAAGCAGGAACAACCCGAAAGAUAUUUGCGGCUUGAGCAUCUUCUUGUUAGAACUUACUUUGACGCACAUGAGGUUGGGAGCUACUUUUCGUAUGAUAAAUUAUCCUUUAGAUCAGUUCUAAUGUGCAAUUCCAAAAUGUGAUGGACAAAUUGAUGCGUAUGAAUUAUUUUCUGUGACAGGCUUAUCAAGAUUCCACCAAAGAGAGACGUCGUGCUCAAAUUGCCCAAGGUUCUACUAAUUUUUCCUUCUCACUGUUUACUAAAUCUAAAAGUGAAGACCUUAUAAAAACUUACUUUUGUUAAGAUCAUCAGUGUUCUUCAACCUAGUUCUUGAAAAUCUGGAAUCUUCCGAUAGCUGUGUGGGAAAACUGAAAAAAACACUUAUGAUUGUUUAUCAUAUUCUAUUUCAAGAGUGCCAAAGGAUGUAAUCGAAGCAGCAGGGGAACAAAACUAAUAUGAAUAAAAAAAUUGCAUGAGCAGUUUUCUGUUCUUCUUUUUAGGUUUUAAAAAGACAUACUUUUGUGUAGUUUUUUUUUUCCCCACUUUUUAUUGACAAAUUUUUUCUUUUUUGUCUAGCUAUUGCUGCGGAAGUUUCUGUGGUUCCACCAUCACGGUUAAUGGCUCUGAUUGGUCAGGCCCUGAAGUGGCAGCAGCACCAAGGUUCUUUUCCUUAAUUACUCUUUUGCUAUAUUAGUAAAAAUCUCAACCGAAUGUCUCUAAUGAAGUAACUGGAAGAAUUUUCUUCAGUUGGGUUCGUGUUGUUAUGACAUCCAAAAUUUCUUCUACCUGCAUUUUAUUUGUAGUGCUUAUGAAAAUACAGUUUUAUCUUCUAAAAGGAGGGAUUUCAUGCCUGAGCUAUGCCUACCUCCGUAUACCUGAAAGAGUAGGAAAACUCAGAAUUAUAGGGACAUAAAUGUGAUCAUUGUGCUUUCGUCUAUGUAUUGCUGAUGUGAUUAUGUUUGGCCUUCUAGGGUUACUACCUCCAGGAACACAGUUUGACUUGUUUCGAGGAACUGCUGCUAUGAAACAGGAUGUAGAAGACAUGUAUCCAACAACUCUUUCCCACACCAUUAAGGUGAGCUUCUUUGUGUACAAACUCAUUUU